rnacentral:rRNA from 1 species
AGAGUUUGAUCAUGGCUCAGAUUGAACGCUGGCGGAAUGCUUUACACAUGCAAGUCGAACGGUAGAGGGGGCAACCCCUUGAGAGUGGCGAACGGGUGAGUAAUAUAUCGGAACGUGCCCAGUCGUGGGGGAUAACGUAGCGAAAGUUACGCUAAUACCGCAUACGAUCUAAGGAUGAAAGCGGGGGAUCGCAAGACCUCGCGCGAUUGGAGCGGCCGAUAUCAGAUUAGGUAGUUGGUGGGGUAAAGGCUCACCAAGCCAACGAUCUGUAGCUGGUCUGAGAGGACGACCAGCCACACUGGAACUGAGACACGGUCCAGACUCCUACGGGAGGCAGCAGUGGGGAAUUUUGGACAAUGGACGCAAGUCUGAUCCAGCCAUUCCGCGUGCAGGAUGAAGGCCCUCGGGUUGUAAACUACUUUUGUACGGAACGAAAAGGUUUGUCUUAAUACGAUGAGCUCAUGACGGUACCGUAAGAAUAAGCACCGGCUAACUACGUGCCAGCAGCCGCGGUAAUACGUAGGGUGCAAGCGUUAAUCGGAAUUACUGGGCGUAAAGCGUGCGCAGGCGGUUAUGUAAGACAGAGGUGAAAUCCCCGGGCUCAACCUGGGAACUGCCUUUGUGACUGCAUAGCUAGAGUACGGUAGAGGGGGAUGGAAUUCCGCGUGUAGCAGUGAAAUGCGUAGAUAUGCGGAGGAACACCGAUGGCGAAGGCAAUCCCCUGGACCUGUACUGACGCUCAUGCACGAAAGCGUGGGGAGCAAACAGGAUUAGAUACCCUGGUAGUCCACGCCCUAAACGAUGUCAACUGGUUGUUGGGUCUUCACUGACUCAGUAACGAAGCUAACG